GACAGGUAAAAUAAAAUUAAUAUUGUAAAACUUUUAAUUUUAUAAAAAGAGUAUAUCUUUACUGUCA
rnacentral:tRNA from 1 species